rnacentral:rRNA from 1 species
CCUACGGGAGGCAGCAGUGAGGAAUAUUGGUCAAUGGCCGGAAGGCUGAACCAGCCAAGUCGCGUGAGGGACGACUGCCCUAUGGGUUGUAAACCUCUUUUAUAAGGGAAGAAUAAAUGCUACGUGUAGCAUGAUGCCUGUACCUUAUGAAUAAGCAUCGGCUAACUCCGUGCCAGCAGCCGCGGUAAUACGGAGGAUGCGAGCGUUAGCCGGUUUUAUUGGGUUUAAAGGGUGGGUAGGCGGUUUUGUAAGUUAGUGGUAAAACGUCGGGGCUUCACCUUGAUUUGCCAUUAAUACUGUAAGACUCGAGUUCAGACGAGGUAGGCGGAAUAAGUUAAGUAGCGGUGAAAUGCUUAGAUAUAACUUAGAACUCCGAUAGCGAAGGCAGCUUACCAGACUGCGACUGACGCUGAAGCACGAGAGCGUGGGUAGCGAACAGGAUUAGAUACCCCAGUAGUC